rnacentral:misc_RNA from 1 species
GAAAUGCGAUAAGUAAUGUGAAUUGCAGAAUUCAGUGAAUCAUCGAAUCUUUGAACGCACAUUGCGCCCGCCAGUAUUCUGGCGGGCAUGCCUGUCCGAGCGUCAUUUCAACCAUCAAGCCCCAGGGCUUGUGUUGGGGACCUGCGGCUGCCCGCAGGCCCUGAAAACCAGUGGCGGGCUCGCUGUCACACCGAGCGUAGUAGCAAUCACCUCGCUCAGGGCGUGCUGCGGGUUCCGGCCGUUAAACAGCCUUACAAAACCCAAGGUUGACCUCGGAUCAGGUAGGAAGACCCGCUGAACUUAAGC